GAUGAACGCUAGCUACAGGCUUAACACAUGCAAGUCGAGGGGAAACGACAUCGAAAGCUUGCUUUUGAUGGGCGUCGACCGGCGCACGGGUGAGUAACGCGUAUCCAACCUGCCCACCACUUGGGGAUAACCUUGCGAAAGUAAGACUAAUACCCAAUGACGUCUCUAGAAGACAUCUGAAAGAGAUUAAAGAUUUAUCGGUGAUGGAUGGGGAUGCGUCUGAUUAGCUUGUUGGCGGGGUAACGGCCCACCAAGGCGACGAUCAGUAGGGGUUCUGAGAGGAAGGUACCCCACAUUGGAACUGAGACACGGUCCAAACUCCUACGGGAGGCAGCAGUGAGGAAUAUUGGUCAAUGGACGAGAGUCUGAACCAGCCAAGUAGCGUGCAGGAUGACGGCCCUAUGGGUUGUAAACUGCUUUUAUAAGGGAAUAAAGUGAGUCUCGUGAGACUUUUUGCAUGUACCUUAUGAAUAAGGACCGGCUAAUUCCGUG
rnacentral:rRNA from 1 species